rnacentral:lncRNA from 1 species
CAAAUAUAUAUAUAUAGAGUUGCUCUAGGAUACUUUUACAAGUAUUAUCCCCAUGUUGCUAUCACGUUUUUAGCCAUUGGAUCUACUUUUUGAUUACAAAUAGCCCUUGGAUCAAAUACUAUUCCACCUACCACCACCUACCACCAUCAUCUCAACCUCACAUCUCUCCAUCCAAAGGCUAAAAACACACAAGUAUCACUUGGGUGAUACUUAUAAAAGUAUUCUAGCCCUACU